CGUAUGGCGUGUUCAUGAUGACUGCUCUGUGAGUAGCAUCUUUCAAUAGAAUUGGAGUAAUAUGGUAUUCAACUUAAUGACGUUGAACCAAAUAUCCAAAUUACAAGAAUAAAAUUAAUUUAUUUAUUUUUGCACACAAGAACAUUGAUGUGUUGUGGUUUCCUCCCCUUUUUCCUUUCCCUUAGCAAUGCAUACACGAGGAAGAAUGAGAUCAUGGAAGCAUAUUAUGCCCUAAAUCACACUCAAGAAAUUUGAACUGAAACAUUAGUCAAGUUGCCAGGAAUUUUAUUUCAAAAAAGGCCUUUUAUUUUAUUGAUCUAAUUUUUUCUACAG
rnacentral:misc_RNA from 1 species